CCUACGGGAGGCAGCAGUGAGGAAUAUUGGUCAAUGGGCGAGAGCCUGAACCAGCCAAGUCGCGUGAGGGAGUACUGCCCUAUGGGUUGUAAACCUCUUUUGUCGGGGAGCAAAAGCCGGACGGGUCCGGCUGUUAGAUUACCCUAAGAAAAAGCAUCGGCUAACUCCGGUCCAGCAGCCGCGGUAAUUCGGAGGAUGCGAGCGUUAUCCGGAUUUAUUGGGUUUAAAGGGUGCGCAGGCGGAUUUGUAAGUCAGCGGUCAAAUCGUGGGGCUCAACCCCAUCCAGCCGUUGAAACUGGGGAUCUAGAGUGGGCGAGAGGUAUGCGGAAUGCGCGGUGUAGCGGUGAAAUGCAUAGAUAUCACGCAGAACCCCGAUUGCGAAGGCAGCAUACCGGUGCACAACUGACGCUCAGGUACGAAAGCGUGGGUAUCGAACAGGAUUAGAUACCCUUGUAGUC
rnacentral:rRNA from 1 species